UACGUAGGGUGCGAGCGUUGUCCGGAAUUAUUGGGCGUAAAGAGCUCGUAGGCGGUCUGUCGCGUCUGCUGUGAAAACUCGGGGCUUAACCCCGGGCCUGCAGUGGGUACGGGCAGACUAGAGUGCGGUAGGGGAGACUGGAAUUCCUGGUGUAGCGGUGGAAUGCGCAGAUAUCAGGAGGAACACCGAUGGCGAAGGCAGGUCACUGGGCCGCAACUGACGCUGAGGAGCGAAAGCAUGGGGAGCGAACAGG
rnacentral:rRNA from 1 species